rnacentral:tRNA from 1 species
GAGUUAGUAACUUAAUAGGUAAAGGAUCUUCUUGUCGAGAAGGGAGAUGCCGGAUCGAGGCCGGCCUAAUUCG